AUUGAACGCUGGCGGCAGGCCUAACACAUGCAAGUCGAACGGUAACAGGAAACAGCUUGCUGUUUCGCUGACGAGUGGCGGACGGGUGAGUAAUGUCUGGGAAACUGCCUGAUGGAGGGGGAUAACUACUGGAAACGGUAGCUAAUACCGCAUAACGUCGCAAGACCAAAGAGGGGGACCCUCGGGCCUCUUGCCAUCGGAUGUGCCCAGAUGGGAUUAGCUUGUUGGUGGGGUAACGGCUCACCAAGGCGACGAUCCCUAGCUGGUCUGAGAGGAUGACGAGCCACACUGGAACUGAGACACGGUCCAGACUCCUACGGGAGGCAGCAGUGGGGAAUAUUGCACAAUGGGCGCAAGCCUGAUGCAGCCAUGCCGCGUGUAUGAAGAAGGCCUUCGGGUUGUAAAGUACUUUCAGCGGGGAGGAAGGGAGUAAAGUUAAUACCUUUGCUCAUUGACGUUACCCGCAGAAGAAGCACCGGCUAACUCCGUG
rnacentral:rRNA from 1 species